UUAUUUUUAAUCAUUUUCUAAUAAAAUUUUAAAUCUGUUCUUAUCAGUUUAAUAUCUGAUGUCCUUUAUUUGAGGACUGUAUAUUAAAUUGAUUUUUGAAACAGGGGGCUGGAAUAGGAGCUUGCUCUGUCCAUCCUAUGCAUUGACCUGGCAUUGCAGUGCCUCCAGGACUGGUGCCUCUCCU